ensembl:lncRNA
UAAAAAUCUAACUCAGCAGCAUGUGAAGUUUGGAGCACCACUGCACCUCACACCACCCUUCACAUCCUAUACAUAUGCUCUGUUAUAAACCUUAGCAGCACUUCAAGCAGUUGUUCGAAAAACCCCUAUACAAAUUCCAUAUCAUUACAGCACAAAAGAAACCAUCCAUGCAAGGUGGGAACAUUUGAUGACGACAAGGUUCUUUAAUGGUCUCACUUGAGUAAGGUAAUAAUUUACUUUUCCUGCCAGAGAGAAAUGUAAUUCAGCAGGUGACCUGCUAGCUAAAGGGGUUUUAUUGAUCCUUUGGAAUUUACAGUGCAUUAAUAAUGUUAAGACUUUCAGUAUGCAUCACAUGCCCAAAGCCUCUGAAAACAAAUGGCCUUGAUGAUGCUUUUUAAACAUCACAUUAUGUUGUGCGAAGGGGCUUGUUAACCUAACGUUAACAAAACCCUUUGAUUGUGUGAUUAAAUGUGCAUUUUCAUGGGUCAUAAAGAAACUCUUACCUGACCCUGAAUCUUCA